rnacentral:rRNA from 1 species
CCUACGGGUGGCUGCAGUGGGGAAUAUUGGACAAUGGGCGAAAGCCUGAUCCAGCCAUGCCGCGUGUGUGAAGAAGGCCUUCGGGUUGUAAAGCACUUUCAGUGGGGAAGAAAGCCUUGGGGCUAAUACCCUCGAGGAAGGACAUCACCCACAGAAGAAGCACCGGCUAACUCCGUGCCAGCAGCCGCGGUAAUACGGAGGGUGCGAGCGUUAAUCGGAAUUACUGGGCGUAAAGCGCGCGUAGGCGGUCUGAUAAGCCGGUUGUGAAAGCCCAGGGCUCAACCUGGGAACGGCAUCCGGAACUGUCAGGCUAGAGUGCAGGAGAGGAAGGUAGAAUUCCCGGUGUAGCGGUGAAAUGCGUAGAGAUCGGGAGGAAUACCAGUGGCGAAGGCGGCCUUCUGGACUGACACUGACGCUGAGGUGCGAAAGCGUGGGUAGCAAACAGGAUUAGAUACCCCGGUAGUC